rnacentral:rRNA from 1 species
GACGAACGCUGGCGGCGUGCUUAACACAUGCAAGUCGAACGGAAAGGCCCUGCUUUUGUGGGGUGCUCGAGUGGCGAAAGGGUGAGUAACACGUGAGUAACCUGCCCUUGACUUUGGGAUAACUUCAGGAAACUGGGGCUAAUACCGGAUAGGAGCUCCUGCUGCAUGGUGGGGGUUGGAAAGUUUCGGCGGUUGGGGAUGGACUCGCGGUUUAUCAGCUUGUUGGUGGGGUAGUGGCUUACCAAGGCAUUGACGGGUAGCCGGCCUGAGAGUGUGACCGGCCACAUUGGGAUUGAGAUACGGCCCGGACUCCUACGGGAGGCAGCAGUGGGGAAUUUUGCACAAUGGGCGGAAGCCGUAUGCAGCAACGCCGCGUGGGGGAUGACGGCCUGCGGGUUGUAAACCGCGUGCGCCUGUGACGAAGCGUGAGUGACGGUAAUGGGUAAAGAAGCACCGGCUAACUACGUG